ACAAAUAAUAAUUUGUAAGAGAUAAAUUUAGUAUUAUCAUUAUUUCAAUGUAAUUAUCAGAUAUUACAAGAAACAUUGAAAACUAAAUAAACGUGACUAAUUUUCUACUGACGUAUGCAAUUAAUUACUGGAAAUAUUUGUACGAAAUGUAAAGUAGAUAAGGUCCUUUACUGACGUAGUUAGAUUAUAUUAUGAUCAUAUAUAAGCUACCGAUUUGAAAUACGAGGUAGUAAAAGUAUUUUCUCAAGUGGAUAAACGUCUAAAGACCGCAAAUUAAAAUGGAGUUAAAGAAAACUGAAUUAAUAUCAACAUUUCUUAUUAUUUUUCUAACGGGCGCACUUGCAUCUGAACAAGAAUACGUCGAAGGCAGAUUUUCUUAUGUUUGCUUAAAAGAUUCGGUAGUAGUUAAAUUUAGUCAAUACGGAGUCUUUAAAAUAAAUAUGUAUGCUGAUAGUGCAAGAGAAGAUCAAAAUAAGGACACAGAGUGCUCACGACAUUUCACUUUACACGAAUCAGCGGUAAAAGAAUUCAAUUUUGAAUCGUGUGCAUAUGGGUCCCGAUUGUUUCCGUUGACUAUUCAAGAACAAGAUUCUGGGACAGUCCUCACACAUGCCUUUACCAUCAAUUGUGUUGGGAAUUCUGAUUAUGAAAACUGAUUAUAAAAUUUAAUUUAACUUUUUUUCACUUAAUUAAUCUUAAUUCUUAAGCUCUAAUUAUUUAUUUAUUACUCAAAUAAUAGUUUUGUAAUUUCAAAAGAACAAAUUGUCAAUUAAUUUUUAAGUAUCAAUUAAUUUAUUCAUAUUUAUUAAUAAAGAAAUAAUCACUCACUAG